UACGUAGGGGCCUAGCGUUGCUCGGAAUCACUGGGCGUAAAGCGCACGUAGGCGGCUUUUUAAGUCAGGGGUGAAAUCCCGGGGCUCAACCUCGGAACUGCCUUUGAUACUGCGAAUCUUGAGUCCGAUAGAGGUGGGUGGAAUUCCUAGUGUAGAGGUGAAAUUCGUAGAUAUUAGGAAGAACACCGGUGGCGAAGGCGGCCCGCUGGAGCGGUACUGACGCUGAGGUGCGAAAGCGUGGGGAGCAAACAGG
rnacentral:rRNA from 1 species